UAUCCUCAGAACACAACGAUGUUAUCAGAUUCCGAUUGACAAAAGUGGACUUUAUUAAUAGAGAUUGACUGAGUACAAAGAUUACAAUGAGAUGAGAUUACAAAUGACUAAGACUAAGAACUAAGAUCGAAGUAUUGAGGGAAUCAAAGGUCAAGGUCGAGGUCGAGGUCGAGUGUGAUUUGUAAUGUCUAAGGUUAAAAAUGUCCCUUCUCUUUCUCUCUUUCUCCUUUAUGUAGCCCCGAUCAUCUAACUGUUUUCAAAGAUCGUGAAAGAUCUUUCUUGAUUAAAUCCAACCGGUUCUUAAUUUGAGAUUGGGCCCGUUCUUCUACACUAGUGGGUCUGACAUUUACUUCCACGGUUGUGUUUAGGUCGGUCUCUAUCUUUAUUGAUUUGCUUCCGCAAUCUUCUCUUUGUUAAUUUCUCCGAUAUCUUUAGCUGCAUUAGUCAGAAUAUUCCUCUGAGUCGAUCUUUUCAU
rnacentral:lncRNA from 1 species